rnacentral:rRNA from 1 species
GACGAACGCUGGCGGCGUGCCUAAUACAUGCAAGUUGAGCGCUGAAGGUUGGUACUUGUACCAACUGGAUGAGCAGCGAACGGGUGAGUAACGCGUGGGGAAUCUGCCUUUGAGCGGGGGACAACAUUUGGAAACGAAUGCUAAUACCGCAUAAAAACUUUAAACACAAGUUUUAAGUUUGAAAGAUGCAAUUGCAUCACUCAAAGAUGAUCCCGCGUUGUAUUAGCUAGUUGGUGAGGUAAAGGCUCACCAAGGCGAUGAUACAUAGCCGACCUGAGAGGGUGAUCGGCCACAUUGGGAAUGAGAAACGGCCCAAACUCCUACGGGAGGCAGCAGUAGGGAAUCUUCGGCAAUGGACGAAAGUCUGACCGAGGAACGCCGCGUGAGUGAAGAAGGGUGUCGGAUCGUAAAACUCUGUUGGUAGAGAAGAACGUUGGUGAGAGUGGAAAGCUCAUCAAGUGACGGUAACUACCCAGAAAGGGACGGCUAACUACGUG